rnacentral:rRNA from 1 species
GAUGAACGCUGGCGGCGUGCCUAAUACAUGCAAGUCGAGCGAACGGACGAGAAGCUUGCUUCUCUGAUGUUAGCGGCGGACGGGUGAGUAACACGUGGAUAACCUACCUAUAAGACUGGGAUAACUUCGGGAAACCGGAGCUAAUACCGGAUAAUAUUUUGAACCGCAUGGUUCAAAAGUGAAAGACGGUCUUGCUGUCACUUAUAGAUGGAUCCGCGCUGCAUUAGCUAGUUGGUAAGGUAACGGCUUACCAAGGCAACGAUGCAUAGCCGACCUGAGAGGGUGAUCGGCCACACUGGAACUGAGACACGGUCCAAACUCCUACGGGAGGCAGCAGUAGGGAAUCUUCCGCAAUGGGCGAAAGCCUGACGGAGCAACGCCGCGUGAGUGAUGAAGGUCUUCGGAUCGUAAAACUCUGUUAUUAGGGAAGAACAUAUGUGUAAGUAACUGUGCACAUCUUGACGGUACCUAAUCAGAAAGCCACGGCUAACUACGUG